rnacentral:rRNA from 1 species
GGUUAAGCGACUAAGCGUACACGGUGGAUGCCCUGGCAGUCAGAGGCGAUGAAGGACGUGCUAAUCUGCGAAAAGCGUCGGUAAGGUGAUAUGAACCGUUAUAACCGGCGAUGUCCGAAUGGGGAAACCCAGUGCAAUUCGUUGCACUAUCGUUAACUGAAUACAUAGGUUAACGAGGCGAACCGGGGGAACUGAAACAUCUAAGUACCCCGAGGAAAAGAAAUCAACCGAGAUUCCCCCAGUAGCGGCGAGCGAACGGGGAGCAGCCCAGAGUCUGAAUCAGCUUGUGUGUUAGUGGAACGGUCUGGAAAGUCCGACGGUACAGGGUGAUAGUCCCGUACACCAAAAUGCACAGGUUGUGAACUCGAAGAGUAGGGCGGGACACGUGGUAUCCUGUCUGAAUAUGGGGGACCAUCCUCCAAGGCUAAAUACUCCUGACUGACCGAUAGUGAACCAGUACCGUGAGGGAAAGGCGAAAAGAACCCCGGCGAGGGGAGUGAAAAAGAACCUGAAACCGUGUACGUACAAGCAGUGGGAGCACCUUCGGGUGUGACUGCGUACCUUUUGUAUAAUGGGUCAGCGACUUAUAUUCUGUAGCAAGGUUAACCGUAUAGGGGAGCCGCAGGGAAACCGAGUCUUAACUGGGCGUUAAGUUGCAGGGUAUAGACCCGAAACCCGGUGAUCUAGCCAUGGGCAGGUUGAAGGUUGGGUAACACUAACUGGAGGACCGAACCGACUAAUGUUGAAAAAUUAGCGGAUGACUUGUGGCUGGGGGUGAAAGGCCAAUCAAACCGGGAGAUAGCUGGUUCUCCCCGAAAGCUAUUUAGGUAGCGCCUCGUGAAUUCAUCUUCGGGGGUAGAGCACUGUUUCGGCUAGGGGGUCAUCCCGACUUACCAACCCGAUGCAAACUACGAAUACCGAAGAAUGUUAUCACGGGAGACACACGGCGGGUGCUAACGUCCGUCGUGAAGAGGGAAACAACCCAGACCGCCAGCUAAGGUCCCAAAGUCAUGGUUAAGUGGGAAACGAUGUGGGAAGGCACAGACAGCCAGGAUGUUGGCUUAGAAGCAGCCAUCAUUUAAAGAAAGCGUAAUAGCUCACUGGUCGAGUCGGCCUGCGCGGAAGAUGUAACGGGGCUAAACCAUGCACCGAAGCUGCGGCAGCGACACUAUGUGUUGUUGGGUAGGGGAGCGUUCUGUAAGCCUGCGAAGGUGACCUGUGAGGGUUGCUGGAGGUAUCAGAAGUGCGAAUGCUGACAUAAGUAACGAUAAAGCGGGUGAAAAGCCCGCUCGCCGGAAGACCAAGGGUUCCUGUCCAACGUUAAUCGGGGCAGGGUGAGUCGACCCCUAAGGCGAGGCCGAAAGGCGUAGUCGAUGGGAAACAGGUUAAUAUUCCUGUACUUGGUGUUACUGCGAAGGGGGGACGGAGAAGGCUAUGUUAGCCGGGCGACGGUUGUCCCGGUUUAAGCAUGUAGGCUGAUUGUCCAGGCAAAUCCGGAUAAUCAAGGCUGAGGUGUGAUGACGAGGCACUACGGUGCUGAAGUAACAAAUGCCCUGCUUCCAGGAAAAGCCUCUAAGCAUCAGGUAACAUUAAAUCGUACCCCAAACCGACACAGGUGGUCAGGUAGAGAAUACCAAGGCGCUUGAGAGAACUCGGGUGAAGGAACUAGGCAAAAUGGUGCCGUAACUUCGGGAGAAGGCACGCUGGUGUGUAGGUGAAGUCCCUGCGGAUGGAGCUGAGACCAGUCGAAGAUACCAGCUGGCUGCAACUGUUUAUUAAAAACACAGCACUGUGCAAACACGAAAGUGGACGUAUACGGUGUGACGCCUGCCCGGUGCCGGAAGGUUAAUUGAUGGGGUUAUCCGUAAGGAGAAGCUCUUGAUCGAAGCCCCGGUAAACGGCGGCCGUAACUAUAACGGUCCUAAGGUAGCGAAAUUCCUUGUCGGGUAAGUUCCGACCUGCACGAAUGGCGUAAUGAUGGCCAGGCUGUCUCCACCCGAGACUCAGUGAAAUUGAACUCGCUGUGAAGAUGCAGUGUACCCGCGGCAAGACGGAAAGACCCCGUGAACCUUUACUAUAGCUUGACACUGAACAUUGAGCCUUGAUGUGUAGGAUAGGUGGGAGGCUUUGAAGCGUGGACGCCAGUCUGCGUGGAGCCAACCUUGAAAUACCACCCUUUAAUGUUUGAUGUUCUAACGUUGGCCCCUGACCGGGGUUGCGGACAGUGUCUGGUGGGUAGUUUGACUGGGGCGGUCUCCUCCCAAAGCGUAACGGAGGAGCACGAAGGUUAGCUAAUCCUGGUCGGACAUCAGGAGGUUAGUGCAAUGGCAUAAGCUAGCUUGACUGCGAGCGUGACGGCGCGAGCAGGUGCGAAAGCAGGUCAUAGUGAUCCGGUGGUUCUGAAUGGAAGGGCCAUCGCUCAACGGAUAAAAGGUACUCCGGGGAUAACAGGCUGAUACCGCCCAAGAGUUCAUAUCGACGGCGGUGUUUGGCACCUCGAUGUCGGCUCAUCACAUCCUGGGGCUGAAGUAGGUCCCAAGGGUAUGGCUGUUCGCCAUUUAAAGUGGUACGCGAGCUGGGUUUAGAACGUCGUGAGACAGUUCGGUCCCUAUCUGCCGUGGGCGCUGGAGAAUUGAGGGGGGCUGCUCCUAGUACGAGAGGACCGGAGUGGACGCAUCACUGGUGUUCGGGUUGUCAUGCCAAUGGCACUGCCCGGUAGCUAAAUGCGGAAGAGAUAAGUGCUGAAAGCAUCUAAGCACGAAACUUGCCCCGAGAUGAGUUCUCCCUGAGACUUUAAGUCUCCUGAAGGAACGUUAAAGACGAUGACGUUGAUAGGCCGGGUGUGUAAGCGCAGCGAUGCGUUGAGCUAACCGGUACUAAUGAACCGUGAGGCUUAACCUU